CCACAAGGCCUAAUUUUGGCGCAUAAAAAAGCGUAGUAGGGCAGAGCCGCAGAGGCGAGCGCCGAGCGCAACUGGGAAGCUGCAGAGUGGGAAGAUGAGAAAGGGGAAGCGAGCUCGCCGCCGCCGGUGAAGGCGCCGGCACUGACGUCACCGAUCGCCGCCUGCUUCCUAGGCAAGGCUUGCAGUCUCACUCCCUCUUCCCGAUGUUUUUAUUCUUUCUUCCUGGUUCAUCUGCGCAUCCCUACCCCGUUCGUAGUGCUUCGAUUUUUGAACCAUCGAAACGGAUAAAUUGUGUCGUGUGUUUGUCGAUGUGAUGUGAUCUUGAACCGAACUAUUUAGAUUUGGUUUGUAUUGCAUUUUGGUGUGACUGUAACAUGUACGGAAAGGGAAAACCCUAGUGUCGAUAGAUCUGAAUGAACAGAUUUAUCAUUGAAAGGGAAAAUGUGGGUACAGUAUAUAGAAGAUUCAAUCUUUGGGUAUGUCAUGGUUGAUCUGCAAUCUUUGUGUGGUCUAUUUUUUAUUAAAGCUCUAAUCCUUGUCAUUAUUAAUUAUUGAAGGAAAAAAAAACUGGUCUUGUAGCAGACUGCAUUAUGCUUGCUUUGGAUUAUCGUUGAUGCAGUCUACUUUAAAAACCUGACCUAAUGCUAGGGCUCUGCCCUCCAUAAACUCAGAAGCACAAAUUUGAUUUUUGUACUCAUUUUGGCACUUUGUUGUGCACUUAUGUCAUUCGAACAAAUUAUUUCUUCUGUGUGUUGCAUAGCAUUAAAUUUUUUGUGAGUUCAGAUGCACAUAGGAUCGCUCUGUAGUCCCUACUUUUCCUUUUUACUUGGUUCAUUUGGUACAUCUGAACCUGGCCUUCAGUGCUUUGGUUUCUUAAUCCAAACUAAGCAGAGGAAUUUCGUCAGCAUCAUCCUUUAUGAACCCUGUAACAGAAGGACCUCAUUGCUCAAGUAGAUCCAAAAAGAUGUACGCCCAUGAGUAACAUGGCUAUGGUAAAAGAGUCCAUUUUUAUGUUAGUUGUAGGGUUGAACCAAGGAUAUUGACAUAUUUUCUGUAUGCAAUGGUUGAUCUGCGAACAGUACACUGAAUUGUAUUUAAAUGUAUAAUUGGGCAUUUUCCCCACACUUUUCACGUUUGUUUCAUGCUUCACCCAGCACAGAAUUUGCAUGUUUGUAACAGUGUAUAUAACAACUUAACAAGUGACUUCCAAUCUACACAACACAUAUGCUAAAUCUUUGCAGGGGAUCUAAAUCUCUAGCAUGUUACAUGUAUAUCUUUCAUUUCUCUUUCAGUUAUUUUCAUUAUUUUUACUUCGUUGCGCAGAGACUUUGACAUCAUGCAGAACACCAGCAAAAUAUCGAGCACCACAAUCACGUCGCUGAGCGACGACGUGCUCACCGAGAUCCUCUUCCACCUCCCGUCCCUGGCCUCGCUUGCCCGUGCGGCCCUCACCUGCCCACGGUGGCGCCGCCUGGCCACCUCCCGCCACUUCCUCGCCGGCUUCGGCGCGCGCCACGCCUCGCUCCCGCUCCUCGGCUGCUUCUUCUGCGCCGACGACGGCUACUUCGAGGUGCCCGUCUUCCAGCGCGCACGAAACCUCCCUGACAUGGACUUGGCCGCUGUGGUCCGCGGCGGCGACUUCCUGCUAUCCAGCUUCUUUGAAGAUGACCUGUGGACGUUCAAAGACAUUUGUCAGGGCCUCCUCCUCUUCGCCAGCGACGACGAGCUCGCCGUGUUCAACCCGGUGUCGCGGCGCUGCACGUGCGUACCCUUGCCAAACACAUCUGAAUUCGGUGAGCAUGAUAGGGAGGCCUCGGUCGACUGCUUGCUCCCUGCUUGCGGCGCCGCCGACGCGGCAUUCCGUGUGGUUUCCCUAGAGCGCGAUGAGAAAGAGCGGGUGCGCGUCCACGGGUACAACUCCCGCACGGGCGAGUGGCGCCCCAGCCGUGGACGCCGCACGGCAUCAUCAAUUGGAGUCCGGACGAUUCGUUGCGGGCGAUGCACGCUGCCGGGCGUAUCUACUGGAAGCACAGCAACAAGCUGCUCUGUCUCGAGAUGGCACCUAGCGGGUCACUGCAGGUAAGCCACAUUGCCCUCCCACCGGUGCCAGGCUUACUAGAGGUGGCGGCGUCGUACGUGGUCGGGGACAUGGAGGACGGCACCUGCUGCCUCGCUUGCGUCGCAAUGUCUCGACGUCUCCGGAGUCCGGACCCGUACUUUGCAGGUGUGGCUUCGCAGGGAGGAUGGCGGCGGGUCCUGGGAGUUGGGAUGGGAGACCAAGUUUCUCUCAGGAUAUUCACUCUGCGCGGUGAAUGCCGGCAUUGUGCUGUUCGAGGAAUACAGGGCCUAUCGCCUCAGCGAGAUUGACGAGUUGCGUUUUGGAGGCUAUCCUGGGACGGAGGCAUCCUUCUUCGCCGGCCGUGGAUCGGAGGCGUACCCGUAUGUGGCAUGCUCCACCGUGCUGCUGGGCAGGCUCAUACAAGACGACGGAGAUGAGGCACGCGCGCCGCCUGGGUGAUCAACUGCCGAGGCUGAACAUCAUCAAUUUUCUGACCGGACGUGAUAGUCACUGUAGCAUUACUGUAGACAACCAUCAAUUAAUUAGGUUUGUUAGAUUCGCCUCAGUAAAAUAACAUCCAUCUUUGAAAAUGUUUUGUAUAUAGACUUUGUUUAGUACUUCAUAUGUAAAAAAAAAUUGUACGAGCAUCUUCAAGAGUUCCUUAUAUUUUUUUCCUAAAAUUUGAUAUUUGCUAACACCCCAAAUAGAUAUGGGGAGAGAAAAUAAUGUACAUCUCCAAUAGUUUUUCAUUUUUUCUCCCCAACAAUAAAAAAUUGUGGCUGGCAGUAUAUGCCUCUUGCGUAGACAGCCAUGGUGGCGUCCUUCCCUUGCACAGGUGUUGACCAAGAGUAUAUCUGGUAUAAAGAAUCCUUGUGUCUUGCCUACUCAAGUCAUUGACAUAUACAAAGUUUUCCUAUACAUAAUUUGUUUCUGUUCUUGCAGGAACAUACUUUCGGUCCUGACAAGAGUGGCACUUUAAAGUUUAAACACAUUCUGUAAUGAAAUCUGGUUGUAAAACUUUGGACAGCACGGGAAGGAGUGGUCCAAUCCCAAGCCAGAAAGCGCAAAGACGCUUGGAUGAGUACAGAGCACUAGUUCCAGAUGAUAAUUCACAGGAAUUGGAUGGAAAGGCACUCUACACCAUUGGGCGCGGCAUGAAGCAUGGACGUGUUCCAAUAGGUGAUGGUGCUGUGUAUAAGGAAGCUGUUUUAGUACAUGGUAAAUCAGUGCCUUUUAAGCCAAUCAAUCCUGAUGAUUAUGAGAGUAUGCUCAAAGAAAAUGAGCAGCUCAAACAGACAAAUGAGAUACUAUUUGAGGAAAAUAGUGUUAAUCUUGACCUCAUCAUGACAAUGUAUGCAGAUUUCGGAAAAGAUCCACCUGCACAGUUGUUACGACGUCUACAAAAUAUCGAUGCACGUCGUCAACAGAAUGCCAAUAUGAGUUGCAGCAGUGAAAAGGUGGCAUCUUGUUGAUUAGAAAAUAUCAGCCUUAGAUUUAAGUUCAUGACUGAUGGAUCCCCAGGUCGAGGCUCCCACUUAGUUGAUGGUAGGCUCCCACUCAGUUGAUGUAGGCACAGGGGUGAGAACACUGAUGAAAGGGAUGAUGAUGACGACGACAAUGACUAUGAAGGCAGUGAUGACUAUAGCGACGAUGAAGGCAGCGAUGACGACAGCGACGAUGAAGGCAGUGAUGUAUUCUUUAGAGGAAAUGGUGAUGGUGACCCCUACCUUGAAGGCCAGACUGAUGAUGAGGAAGCCAUUGAAGGUGAGGCUGAUGGCGAGGAAGCCGUUGAAGGAAACUGAUGACCCAGUAUGGUGAUCUUGGAACUGACAAAUGACGGGCUGCAUGUCCUGGAUGCAUGCUGACUUCUUUUGGUCUAUUUUGGUAGAGGCUAACAUAUAUAUGAUGUGUAGCUGAGCUUUUGCUAAUCUGGGUUGUGGUUUUGGGACACGACAUGUAGGCAUAUAGACAGUAUUGCCAUCUAGGUAGAUUAAAUUUAGGCAUGAUGCAUGUGAGGAUGACAUGUUUGCCUUACAUAUGCAAAAUGGACUUGUUGUAAUGAACAAAUGGAUGCUGGAUAUGUGGUCUGUAUGAUGUUGUUGUAUGGUGCCUGUCCAAUCAUUAUUUUAAUCAAUAACCAGUAUUGGAAAUGAAUUA